UGAACGCUGGCGGCGUGCCUACUACAUGCAAGUCGAGCGAACGGACGCGAAGCUUGCUUCUCUGAUGUUAGCGGCGGACGGGUGAGUAACACGUGGAUAACCUACCUAUAAGACUGGGAUAACUUCGGGAAACCGGAGCUAAUACCGGAUGAUAUUUUGAACCGCAUGGUUCAAAAGUGAAAGACGGUCUUGCUGUCACUUAUAGAUGGAUCCGCGCUGCAUUAGCUAGUUGGUAAGGUAACGGCUUACCAAGGCAACGAUGCAUAGCCGACCUGAGAGGGUGAUCGGCCACACUGGAACUGAGACACGGUCCAGACUCCUACGGGAGGCAGCAGUAGGGAAUCUUCCGCAAUGGGCGAAAGCCUGACGGAGCAACGCCGCGUGAGUGAUGAAGGUCUUCGGAUCGUAAAACUCUGUUAUUAGGGAAGAACAUAUGUGUAAGUAACUGUGCACAUCUUGACGGUACCUAAUCAGAAAGCCACGGCUAACUACGUG
rnacentral:rRNA from 1 species